UCCGUUGUAGUCUAGUUGGUCAGGAUGUUCGACGGUCACCCGAAAGACCCGGGUUCAAGUCCCGGCAACGGGA
rnacentral:tRNA from 1 species